rnacentral:sRNA from 1 species
GAGUAGCAUUGUGGUUAUAUGUAAGACUUUAUGUUUAGAGAUUUGUGCUAAACUUUUUAUGGAUGAAAUGAUCUGUCUGGGAUUUGCUUCAGAAUAAUCUGGCAGGGGGACGUGGAACCAGGUAUGGAUAGAGCCACGCUGGCCCCAGGUUGAUGUUUUUGGGGGCCAAGUAGCGAGGACAUGGGGUUCAUUGUACAGUUUGUCUGCUUUUGUUUAUGUUCAGAUUUUUCUAUGAUAGAAAGUUAAGCCAGAAGGACAAAGGAAUUCAGAAGAUUCAUCUUUAGAACUUCACUUAUUUGAGGGGUAAUUUUUAAGCAGUAAAAAGAUCAAGGGUUUAUGAUUUGAAACUUUACAAACCAAAAUUAUUUUACAGCAACGAAAAAUCUGUCUGAUGCAUGCAAACCACUGAAGAAGCGAAAUCGGGCUUCCACGGCAGCAUCUUCAGCUCUUGGGUUUAGCAAAAGUUCAUCUCCUUCUGCAUCCUUAACUGAGAAUGAGGUCUCGGACAGCCCGGGAGACGAGCCCUCGGAGUCCCCAUACGAAAGUGCGGACGAAACACAAACUGAAGUGUCUGUCUCAUCCAAAAAGUCUGAGCGAGGAGUGACUGCCAAAAAGGAGUAUGUGUGCCAGCUGUGUGAGAAGCCGGGCAGCCUCCUGCUCUGUGAAGGACCCUGCUGCGGAGCUUUCCACCUCGCCUGCCUUGGGCUUUCCCGGAGGCCAGAAGGGAGGUUCACCUGCAGCGAGUGUGCCUCAGGGAUUCACUCAUGUUUCGUGUGUAAAGAGAGCAAGACAGAUGUUAAGCGCUGUGUGGUAACUCAGUGUGGAAAAUUUUACCAUGAGGCUUGUGUGAAAAAAUACCCUCUGACUGUAUUUGAGAGCCGAGGUUUCCGCUGCCCCCUCCACAGCUGUGUGAGCUGCCAUGCUUCCAACCCUUCAAACCCAAGGCCGUCGAAAGGUAAAAUGAUGCGGUGUGUCCGCUGCCCCGUUGCCUAUCACAGCGGGGAUGCUUGUCUGGCAGCAGGAUGCUCAGUGAUCGCCUCCAACAGCAUCAUCUGCACUGCCCACUUCACUGCUCGGAAGGGGAAGCGACACCAUGCCCACGUCAACGUGAGCUGGUGCUUCGUGUGCUCCAAAGGGGGGAGCCUUCUGUGCUGUGAGUCCUGCCCAGCGGCCUUCCACCCUGACUGCCUGAACAUCGAGAUGCCUGACGGCAGCUGGUUCUGCAAUGACUGCAGGGCUGGGAAGAAGCUGCACUUCCAGGAUAUCAUUUGGGUGAAACUUGGGAACUACAGAUGGUGGCCGGCAGAAGUUUGCCAUCCCAAAAAUGUUCCCCCAAAUAUUCAGAAAAUGAAGCACGAGAUUGGAGAAUUCCCUGUGUUUUUCUUUGGGUCUAAAGAUUAUUACUGGACGCAUCAGGCGCGAGUGUUCCCGUACAUGGAGGGGGACCGGGGCAGCCGCUACCAGGGGGUCAGAGGAAUCGGAAGAGUCUUCAAAAACGCACUGCAAGAAGCUGAAGCUCGUUUUCGUGAAAUUAAGCUUCAGAGGGAAGCCCGAGAAACACAGGAGAGCGAGCGCAAGCCCCCACCAUACAAGCACAUCAAGGUGAAUAAGCCUUACGGGAAAGUCCAGAUCUACACAGCGGAUAUUUCAGAAAUCCCUAAGUGCAACUGCAAGCCCACAGAUGAGAAUCCUUGUGGCUUUGAUUCGGAGUGUCUGAACAGGAUGCUGAUGUUUGAGUGCCACCCGCAGGUGUGUCCCGCGGGCGAGUUCUGCCAGAACCAGUGCUUCACCAAGCGCCAGUACCCAGAGACCAAGAUCAUCAAGACAGAUGGCAAAGGGUGGGGCCUGGUCGCCAAGAGGGACAUCAGAAAGGGAGAAUUUGUUAACGAGUACGUUGGGGAGCUGAUCGACGAGGAGGAGUGCAUGGCGAGAAUCAAGCACGCACACGAGAACGACAUCACCCACUUCUACAUGCUCACUAUAGACAAGGACCGUAUAAUAGACGCUGGCCCCAAAGGAAACUACUCUCGAUUUAUGAAUCACAGCUGCCAGCCCAACUGUGAGACCCUCAAGUGGACAGUGAAUGGGGACACUCGUGUGGGCCUGUUUGCCGUCUGUGACAUUCCUGCAGGGACGGAGCUGACUUUUAACUACAACCUCGAUUGUCUGGGCAAUGAAAAAACGGUCUGCCGGUGUGGAGCCUCCAAUUGCAGUGGAUUCCUUGGGGAUAGACCAAAGACCUCGACGACCCUUUCAUCAGAGGAAAAGGGCAAAAAGACCAAGAAGAAAAUGAGGCGGCGCAGAGCAAAAGGGGAAGGGAAGAGGCAGUCAGAGGACGAGUGCUUCCGCUGCGGUGAUGGCGGGCAGCUGGUGCUGUGUGACCGCAAGUUCUGCACCAAGGCCUACCACCUGUCCUGCCUGGGCCUUGGCAAGCGGCCCUUCGGGAAGUGGGAAUGUCCUUGGCAUCAUUGUGACGUGUGUGGCAAACCUUCGACUUCAUUUUGCCACCUCUGCCCCAAUUCGUUCUGUAAGGAGCACCAGGACGGGACAGCCUUCAGCUGCACCCCGGACGGGCGGUCCUACUGCUGUGAGCAUGACUUAGGGGCGGCAUCGGUCAGAAGCACCAAGACUGAGAAGCCCCCCCCAGAGCCAGGGAAGCCGAAGGGGAAGAGGCGGCGGCGGAGGGGCUGGCGGAGAGUCACAGAGGGCAAAUAGCGCCAGGCGGCAGCUUGGCCGGAUCCAGGGGCGGAGCAGGGCGGCCGGCCCUGCCUGCGGGAGAGGGCGAGCAUGAACUGGCCCAGAGGACCCAGCUCGAGCCGCCAGGACACAGACGUACAGGCCUCCUCGGGAGGGAGCGCCUCCCCACCACUGAGCCAUCCUCAGCAGCAUCCGCUGCGUCUGCACUGAUGACCGUCUGAGCCCAGCUCAGCGUUCCUGGACAAACAGCCUCACUCCUCAGCGUUACCGCCACACUUGAAUUUCUCCGAAUGUCAAGGUUCCCUCCCACUCUAUUUUUUUAGGUUAAAGUUAAUUGGCAUAUGGAAUGUUUUAAUCUCCUCUGAAAUGUGUAGCGUAGGCUUUUCCCAAGGGUCGCUAGAAACUCGGCUUCGCGUUGCCCCCUUUCUGGCUCUCAGCGCCGUCGCCACUCAGGAGAGGCUGGGUGAGGCCCGUGUGAGGACUGACCCUGGAUUCCUCGAAACUGCCAUUGUGAUCAUUACUCUGCUCUUUGGAAAUGGCUAUUAUCUUUUUUUGUACUAAUGUGAAUUGUUCCUCAGAAAUGCUUCUUUUCCAUCCUAGUGAGAAGCUGGCCCUGCAGGUGGUGGCAGCAAUGGUGUUGUAAGAUUUCCUCCCGUAGUUUUUUUCUCCUCAUGGAUUUGAAUGAAAUGCCAAUAACACGUCCACUUUCAACGUGUAGUUUACGCGGAGCACUUUCGAGGCCUGGCCGGGUUGGGCCUACUUCUCACCUGGGCCUAUCUUCUGAACUCGCUAGGUUCUUAUCAACAUUUGGGGGAGAACUUUGUAUAUUUUUUUCAUUUGGCUUUUCUUUACCAGUUUCUGAUUUUUAUUCUCAAUAUAUUUUUGCUAAACCUAUUUCACAAAUCA